AAAUCAUUCACUUGAAGAAAAAAAGAAGAUAAAGGAGCUUGGAUUUGACUGACCUGACUUAAGAACUCAAUGUUGGUACCGAAGCAUUGUGGACAAUGAUGGUGGACUCCCAGGAGGCGAUGCCACCAUGACAUCAUCGCUAGAGAGCCGUCCCUUAUGAAUUUGAAUUUUUUCUCCAUUGUCUAUCAUUUUUAUUCUCUUGACAAAACAACAGUGUUACCACACCCUGCCACUGAGAACUCCAUAACUGCCACACUGUGGACAUGCUGGAGCAACUGAACAAAACACAGCCAGAUCAAUUAGAGCACCUCAGCUAGCAGGGAUAAUGGGAGCGAAAAAGAGA